GACGAACGCUGGCGGCGUGCUUAACACAUGCAAGUCGAACGGAAAGGCCUCUUUCGGGGGGUACUCGAGUGGCGAACGGGUGAGUAACACGUGAGUAAUCUGCCCUUGACUUUGGGAUAACUUCAGGAAACUGGGGCUAAUACCGGAUAGGAGCUCCUGCUGCAUGGUGGGGGUUGGAAAGUUUCGGCGGUUGGGGAUGGACUCGCGGCUUAUCAGCUUGUUGGUGGGGUAGUGGCUUACCAAGGCUUUGACGGGUAGCCGGCCUGAGAGGGUGACCGGCCACAUUGGGACUGAGAUACGGCCCAGACUCCUACGGGAGGCAGCAGUGGGGAAUAUUGCACAAUGGGUGGAAGCCUGAUGCAGCAACGCCGUGUGCGGGAUGACGGCCUUCGGGUUGUAAACCGCUUUCGCUCAUGACGAAGCUUUGUGUGACGGUAGUGGGUAAAGAAGCACCGGCUAACUACGUG
rnacentral:rRNA from 1 species